CCAGUUUAUGUGACUGCACUCGCUGCUGCGGGGUGACGAUAAUCAUGUAGCAGCGGCUGCUUCAGUGAAUAAAGUGAGACGGUGUGUGCUUCGUGUAGUUUUCAUUUCUGAAAUCUAAAAUUUACACUGAACUCCAGUGUUAGCGUGGAGCUAUUCUGGCAUCAAAUCCCUGAACCUUACAAACUGUGAGCGGCGGCAUGCUCAGCUGUGUUAUGGCAAAGGAGGACCAGCUGACACCCAGCAUGGUCCGACCAACCUGAGAACCAAAGUGUGUUAUUGGACUAUGUAAAGCCUAAGUAUACAAAUACAGGCUAUUUACCAUUUAUUUAUCACUGAAUUAAACUAAACUAACAGCAGUCUUUCUUCUGCUUCUCCUGAACAUUAAGUACCUGUCUCAGCUGAUAUUGAUCUUCUGUGAUUCAAAUUCAGAUCUGUGGUUAAUCAAAUUAUCUACAACCAAUUGACACGCCGCAAACUCAGAGCUUUGGAGGCCAGACGCAGCUGACCGCUCUGCACGGCCGUUAAUCCAACCUUGGCUCAUAGAUUUGUUCUGUACCCAGAGUUGGACCGACGGUUGGGUUCUGGUGCACCAAAUCAGUACUGAAUCUGACUGACCAACUCUGUUACUCUUUUCUGCUUAUAAUUGAUUAAUUGUGUUACUUUGUUUACUUUAAGAAAACAUUUCGGGCUUCUUUCAGUUUCCAAUGUGUCGAACACACCGGAAACACAGAUGUUUAGAAGAAAUCAUCAGUCUUGUCUGCAGUUGGUGAGCCUGAUGCAGGCAGUAAUGCACAUCUACGAGCCACGUGCAUGUUUGAUUUGUCAACUCUACAUUUACAAAGUUUCUUCUUUUCUGGAAACCGAGCCUGGUUUUAUGAUUUUAAUAGUCAAUGUUUUAUUGGGGUGUAGUUCAUGUUUUAAGAAAAAGAGGACAUCUUUAAAAGAAGUUCAAACCUGAUGGAAAUACGUCAUCUCUGCUAGUUUCUGUGCAAACACAGCUGAUGGUUUUGACUCUACAGUAGGAUGCUGAAGUCACAUGAUGAAUAAAUGAUGGACGUAGCCAUCGUGAUGUCACCUGUUAGUUUGUAAAGACUGAAGCUGAGCCCACUGACCAUCAUCAUCUUAUCUUAAGAAGAUGUCACAUUAGAGGGAUACUGGAUGCUUAUACGCUAGCGACUUGUCGAUCACACCCAGCUUUACUGUCCUUCUGGGAACUAAUGGACUUUGAUUAGAGUUGAAACACACGAGUGAGACCACAAGCUGUUGAUGAUAGCGUUUACUGAGGUCACACGGCGCUCUCGAUUCGACACAUAGGAUGAUUUUUUUCACUUGUUUUAAACUAUAAUAGUUCCUGCGAAUGAUCUGUGUCUUCAGAAUCAUCAGGAACUUUUCUUGGGAACUUUUUUACUUUGCUGUUGUGUUUUACAUCUGGUGUUACCAUGGAAACCAGAUUUAAUGCAGCCUAAGCCCGAAAAUACAGACAUUUACCUGCAAGGUUAAAAUUCGGACAUAGCUUCGGGUUCUGAAAAGUACUUUUUUCUUAUAUAAUGGCCAACAGGGGGCGACUCCUCUGGAUGGUUUAGUUGUCUUUGACACAUUGACCUUUGGCUCUCCCAAUCUAUAACCUCAUUAAAGACUUUCCUGGUGGCUCUAUGGUCGCAAUCAAUACCUUAUAGUGUUCCUUUUUAAAUAACGAUCUCUGUUAGAGUCAAAAAUGACAAUGACUCGGGGUACGAGCAUGUGACUUAAAACUCCUGGCAGUAUCAAGUUUCUCGUCUGGUUUCAACACCAAGACGCUUCUGGACGAUUCAGUAAGGGAUGGCUCAUCACAUUAGCUACAUCCAUCAUCUUUACUCAGUAUAUGAAUGUAAUGCACAGUAUAAAAGUUGGGCUUUAAUGCACAAGUUCAAAAUCAACACAUAAACAGGUCGACGCGCUGCAGGUGCAUGUCAGCAAAUUCAUAUUUUCCACACACUCAAAACGUGGUUAGAUGGAUGCAGCAGGGAGACAGAGUUUGGUUCUGUUGAAGGAUCACCGCCUCCAUCUGCUCUCUCUGAUACCUGUUUAAAUAUUUUAUAAUACAGCCUAAUGAAACAUGAAGAGCCCGGCUUUUCCAAACAAUUAAGCAUAAUGAGUGUCUCUCAGAGAUCGUGGCGCUAAAACUAAAAGGCAACAACUGGGAAAUCAAACAUGUCAAAGACAGAACUGAAACUCUACACUGAUGGAAGCACAGUCCGGAUCCAGCAUCCGGGCCCGCUCUUUACCGCCAGCCGACUGAGCCUAGUUUCGAAUUGACGGACGUCGGCGGUAACCAAUCAGCGCCUGCCGUGCGCCAAAGCCGUGUUUAUUCCACUUAGCCGACCAAUCCGAGCCGUCCUCUGCGGCCAAGUGCGUCAUCAGAGUAGAAUGUGAAUGUGGGCUGCCUGUUACCGGAGCACACUUUGCUCCCAUCCCCCAUCAACACUGAGCAAUGGCGGCUACCCUUUUUUGCGUGCCGCUUUGUCCUUCUCAGUUCAGCUUGUAAAAGCCAUGUGUACAAAAGUCGGUAAGGAAAAUACGUGUUUGCCCUUGUGUUUCAUAAGAAUGCGCGUCAGUUCAUGAGCACAUUAUAAUUAUUUUCCGCACUUCUCUCAUCGCAUGUCUUUUAUGUCGCACUGCUUUUUUUCCCUCCUCCACGGCGGGGCAUUUCUCUGUGGGUCCUAACAAUGGAGGCGGAGGAAAUGAGCCACCAGCACUGUUCACUGCACCCGCUCACUGAGCCCGAACAGCCCGAAUCACGGCGUCAGAGCCGGCUGUGUGUGUGUUGUUCGACGGGCACUGUGUUUAUUUGUGUCUCGACCUUGGCGCACGAAUUUAUGGGCUGUUAUGUAAAAAAAAAAAAAAAGCCCUCAAGAGUGUCAAGUGCGCACAUACAGGGAUGAGUUUCAAACAUGGACGUCGGGAAGGGGCGGGGCGACGAAGAGCUGCGAUGUGACAUGGCGGCGCCGCUCCACAUUUACACUCUGAGCGCCUUGUAUCUGACUGAUGUUGUUCACAUGGAGCUUGAGAUGUGACACUAACUUUUGGGGAGAAAAGCCCGAUUUAAUCCGUAAUAACAUCCGUGUCGUCCACGUUUCCCUCCCAAACACUUCGCCUCUAUUCCCCCGUCGCGGCGGUGGGCGGGAGAAACCGUCUGAAGUCGCCGCUUGACUCGUCCAGACGCACAUCAAUCAAUCAAAGUGACACUACGUCAACCGAAGCGCUCUCGAUUCGACAUAUUUACUGCGUAACUCGACGGAAACUCGAUUUUCUUGCGCUCACGGUGCUGUGGAGCUGCCACGGUUCCGGCUCCGGUCCGUUUUGUGGGCUUUUAUCGACUCUGAUUAUUGUUUUAGGGGAGAAAGGGACGGUUGCAGCGAUAGAAUAGGAGGGGGCGUGGCCUUUGGGUUAAGAAAUCCUAUCCAUUGUUACUCUACGCGCUAGGAGAACACCUCUGCCGAGCCUCUGGCCAAUCAGAGACCACCGACCUCAUGAAGACCCCGCCCACAAGCCUAUAUUAAAGGCUCGGCCGUCAGAAGCAUUGGCCACUGGCACAAUAUAAUACUGAUUGAUCCGCUAACCGAGACGAGGGGAUUUACUUUAUUCAACCUUUCAUUUCAGCCGUCCUUUAUUUUAUUCUACUAAACAAUGGCAGACACACAGGUCGACUCCGGCUCGGAUAUCUCUGCCAAGGACCUGAAAGAGAAGAAGCUGGUGGAGGAGAAGGAGAACGGCAAAGACGCCGCCACCAAUGGGAAGGUGAGCGCCAUCGCCGCCGCCGCAGCAGCUCUCUGCACAGAGUCGGACAUUUUUAACCAUUUUUGUAUUUUCCAGGAGAAUGAAGAGAACGGUGAGCCCGAGGUAGAUGACGAGGAGGACGAGGAGGUGGACGAGGAAGAAGAGGAAGAUGAUGGAGAAGGUGAUGAGGAAGAUGAGGAGGAGGACGACGACGAGAUUGAGGGUGGCACAAAACGGGCAGCUGAGGAUGACGAGGACGACGACGAGGUGAGGCAGCGGCGCUUAAACGCCCUUAAAUCGAGCGUCGCCGUGACACCCAGCAGGCGCCGGUCUAACCCGCCACCGUCUUCUCUUCUUUCAGGACGACGUCGAAACCAAGAAGCAGAAAACCGACGAUGACGAUUGAUGCGUUUCCCCCGCGCCAUCCUGCUGAACCACUUCCUGAUUCUUCACCUCUGACCAUUUUUCUAUGUCGCAGGUGGAGGGGCUGGAGGACUGAUUUAAAGGAAAAAAUAAUAAUAAUAAAAAAAAUCCAACAUGGUCAUUAGCAAGUAGAGUUCAACAAACACCCGCCACGCCCACACCCACCCGAGCUCCCCUCGACGCUGCGAGACAAAUUUUCUAGAGGAACCCGCCACCGCAUCGACGACGCAGAAAUCCGGCUUCUCUUCAGCAACAACACAAAAGGAGAAUUUGUUUGUAUUUUUAUUUACAUUUUAUAUUUUUGUACAUAUUGUUAGGAGAGGGGAGGGGGGCAGUUUCUCUCUCGGCAGCGAUCCCGUCAGACCAAAUCGGUGCUUCUCUAACGAAAGAUUUUACUUGGUUGACCAUGUUACGAUAUCUCAACAGAUCUUAGAAAAACGUGUAAAAAAAUAAAAUGAAUAAAAACAUGAAAGACAACCUCUUAAGCCGUUGAACUCAGAGCAUUCCAGUAAAUUUAAUGUAUGUACUUUAGCUGUACCAUAACUAGUUUGUUUGUAUGGGAGGGUAAGGCCAAAGAAAAGAGCCUCUUUUCUUUUUCCUUUCUUUUGGUUUUUUUUCUUUUGGUUUUGUUUUUGUCAGCGACUUUUUGUUUUAUGACGGCCUGUUUUGAUGUAUGUGCAAAGUUUGUUGUUUGACAAUAAACCGGACUUUUAUUUUGUGAGUUGUACUUUGUAUCUCUGCCCCUUUUUAUUUGUGCUUUGCUCUCCUGUGAGGAAGAGGAAGCAGUGCAGGUAAACCUGAGGUCUGCUUUUACUUUAGGGUCACAACAGCGAGGAGGUGGGUCCAGCACAUCUUAUUGGACAUUUUACACUCAUUACAUCCAUAUAAUUCAUAUUACAUAAAAGUUAAGGUUUGGUACUAAAAUAAACUGGCGGUUCCAAAAGACUAAAUGUGGUUUAUUUCUUUUGGAUUUUUCUCUUCUUUUUGUCUAUAUUGCAAACAUGCAAACAGAAGCAGUUCUGAUAGUUGAAAGUUGUAAGAAUAACAUAAUGUGUCACAUAAAUAAGGGUUUCUGCAUGAAUUUAAAGUCUUAACAUUAAAAUAAAGCAUAUUAAGGUCUGAGAAGCUGAUCUGUA
ensembl:lncRNA